UCUUACAGUAGUUAAGGGGAAUUUACCCCUUAAGUGUCAUACUUAAGGGAAAAACUUAAGGUGCUUUAUGCAACCGGGCCCUUAACUUAAAUAUUUAAACUUUUACAAUCAUAAAAAUGUAUUUUUUUUAAAUGUCUUACAAAUGUAUAAAGGAUUGCAAACGUUUACGUGAUUCAUAACGUAAUGUGUGACAAUUAACGUUAUAUUGAUAUUAAAUUAGCUGUUUUCUAUCAGGUUAAGAAUAACUGUGAUCAUAUUAUAAUGAAGUAAUCGAAUUUGGUUAUCUGGUCUUCCUGAUGUUAGAACAUUUAUAUAAAAAACAUAUUUAAAAAUGUAUUUCUGUAACGUUUAAUUUCCUUUUUUGAUGAAAGUGUGUCUGUGUUCAUCAAGACAUGAAGACUCUGGAGUGGGACAAGAGGAGGAUGAUGGGGUGUAUAUUCCAAUAGGCACAUUAAGUCACAUUGUGAUUUCAGUGAAAGCAGAUAAAUACAGAGGGCUGGACAGUGGUUUCAUUCAUUAGGUAAAGAGGUGGGACAAGGAUGCUGACAGGACAGGAGGAGGUGACAUUCAGACAUUCAACGCAGCCAUUUUCAUCCAAAGCAACUUGAGGAAGAAAACAGAAGCAGUUCAUCCUAAAAGUGGGCUGCUGUAAUGUUUACAUCUAUGGAAAGAGGAGCUGAGAAGAAAAGAGAGGCUGGAAAGCAGUACUUCUUGUUGAGGACAAUCCUGAAUAGGAACACUUUCUCAUACACAUAGAUUAUUAUUAGUGCUUGAUUGUUUGUUUCAUUUUUAUGAAUUGUAUUGUUUUAAUUUUUCGUUUUAUUUGAAAUUACCUAAGUUAGAUUCAUGCUAAUACUUUAACUGGACCUUGUAUCUUUGCUGGCUGGCUGGCUGUAGAGUUGGUUUCACAUACACAUGAAGUUUCUAAUUAACUAACUUUUAAGUUCAGUUUGGUUUAAACUUGUAUUUACCCAUGGUAAUUCAUUUAAAUUUCUAUUCAUGCUUAUAUAUUAAUUUCAAUGAACUUCUGUAUUUGUGUAUAGCUGGCAAUUUGGGCAAGCUACGUUUAACACACAAAUGUAACUGUCACAAAGGUUUUUUUUAUUAUCAGUUUGUUCUAAACUUUUGUUUGUUUACUAAGGAUGAAAUUGCUUUGUAAUUUAAGUUGUUGGUAGAUUCAUGCCAAUAAUGUAUUUGAACAAACUAGUAUUUUUGUUUAUUGCUGGCAGUUUAUACUAGAAGAGUUUUAACACAUACAAUGUUGUAGUGUUAUUGACUUGUGUGCUAUUGAUUAAUAAAAAGGCAAACAAUUUGAAAGUAAUUUUUCGUGUGAUUUAUUUAUUAAUAUAAUUUGGGCAAGAUUAGGCUGAGUUAUGGC